rnacentral:tRNA from 1 species
CAUAGCUCAGUCCGGUAGAGCAGUCGCCUUUUAAGCGAAUGGUCCUAGGUUCAAAUCCUAGU